AACGAACGCUGGCGGCAUGCCUAACACAUGCAAGUCGAACGAGACCUUCGGGUCUAGUGGCGCACGGGUGCGUAACGCGUGGGAACCUGCCCUUAGGUUCGGAAUAACUCCCCGAAAGGGGUGCUAAUACCGGAUAAUGUCUUCGGACCAAAGAUUUAUCGCCUUUGGAUGGGCCCGCGUGGGAUUAGCUAGUUGGUAGGGUAAAAGCCUACCAAGGCGACGAUCCAUAGCUGGUCUGAGAGGAUGAUCAGCCACACUGGGACUGAGACACGGCCCAGACUCCUACGGGAGGCAGCAGUGGGGAAUAUUGGACAAUGGGCGAAAGCCUGAUCCAGCAAUGCCGCGUGAGUGAUGAAGGCCUUAGGGUUGUAAAGCUCUUUUACCCGGGACGAUAAUGACGGUACCGGGAGAAUAAGCUCCGGCUAACUCCGUG
rnacentral:rRNA from 1 species